AGAAUCAACGCUGGCGGCGUGCCUCAGACAUGCAAGUCGAACGCGAAAGCCCCCUUCGGGGGGCAAGUGGAGUGGCGCACGGGUGAGUAACACGUAGGUAAUCUACCUUCGGAUGGGGAAUAACAAUCGGAAACGGUUGCUAAUACCGCAUAAUGCAGCGGCACCUAAUGGUGACAGUUGUUAAAGCGGGGGAUCGAAAGACCUCGCGUCUGAAGAGGAGCCUGCGGCGGAUUAGCUAGUUGGUAAGGUAAUGGCUUACCAAGGCUACGAU
rnacentral:rRNA from 1 species